UACAGAGGGUGCGAGCGUUAAUCGGAAUUACUGGGCGUAAAGCGUGCGUAGACGGUAGCGUAAGUCAGAUGUGAAAGCCCCGGGCUCAACCUGGGAACUGCAUUUGAGACUGCUCUGCUCGGGUGCGGAAGAGGGAAGCGGAAUUUCCGGUGUAGCGGUGAAAUGCGUGGAUAUCGGAAGGAACACCAGUGGCGAAAGCGGCUUCCUGGUCCGACACCGACGUUCAGGCACGAAAGCGUGGGGAGCAAACAGG
rnacentral:rRNA from 1 species